AGUCGAGAAUAAUUCACAAUGGGCGAAAGCCUGAUGGUGCAACGCCGCGUGGAGGAAGAAGGUCUUCGGAUUGUAAACUCCUGUCAUCGGGGAGUAAGACCUGGGCGUGAAUAGCGCACAGGGUUGAUAGUACCCGAAGAGGAAGGGACGGCUAACUUCGUGCCAGCAGCCGCGGUAAUACGAAGGUCCCAAGCGUUGUUCGGAAUCACUGGGCGUAAAGGGAGCGUAGGCUGCGCGGUAAGUCAGGUGUGAAAUCCCGGGGCUCAACCCCGGAACUGCACCCGAUACUGCCGUGCUUGAGGGUUGGAGAGGUAGCUGGAAUUCUCGGUGUAGCAGUGAAAUGCGUGGAUAUCGAGAGGAACACUCGUGGCGAAGGCGAGCUACUGGACAACAUCUGACGCUGAGGCUCGAAGGCCAGGGGAGCAAA
rnacentral:rRNA from 1 species